rnacentral:rRNA from 1 species
CAGGCUUAACACAUGCAAGUCGAGGGGCAGCAUGGUCUUAGCUUGCUAAGGCCGAUGGCGACCGGCGCACGGGUGAGUAACGCGUAUCCAACCUGCCUUACACUCUUGGACAGCCUUCUGAAAGGGAGAUUAAUACAAGAUGUUAUCAUGAGUAAGCAUUUUCGCAUGAUUAAAGGUUUACCGGUGUAAGAUGGGGAUGCGUUCCAUUAGAUAGUAGGCGGGGUAACGGCCCACCUAGUCUUCGAUGGAUAGGGGUUCUGAGAGGAAGGUCCCCCACAUUGGAACUGAGACACGGUCCAAACUCCUACGGGAGGCAGCAGUGAGGAAUAUUGGUCAAUGGACGAGAGUCUGAACCAGCCAAGUAGCGUGAAGGAUGAAGGUUCUAUGGAUUGUAAACUUCUUUUAUACGGGAAUAAACGAAUCCACGCGUGGAUUUUUGCAUGUACCGUAUGAAUAAGGAUCGGCUAACUCCGUGCCAGCAGCCGCGGUAAUACGGAGGAUCCGAGCGUUAUCCGGAUUUAUUGGGUUUAAAGGGAGCGUAGAUGGGUUGUUAAGUCAGUUGUGAAAGUUUGCGGCUCAACCGUAAAAUUGCAAUUGAUACUGGCAGUCUUGAGUACAGUUGAGGUAGGCGGAAUUCGUGGUGUAGCGGUGAAAUGCUUAGAUAUCACGAAGAACUCCGAUUGCGAAGGCAGCUUACUAACCUGUAACUGACAUUGAUGCUCGAAAGUGUGGGUAUCAAACAGGAUUAGAUACCCUGGUAGUCCACACGGUAAACGAUGAAUACUCGCUGUAGGCGAUAUACAGUCUGCGGCCAAGCGAAAGCAUUAAGUAUUCCACCUGGGGAGUACGCCGGCAACGGUGAAACUCAAAGGAAUUGACGGGGGCCCGCACAAGCGGAGGAACAUGUGGUUUAAUUCGAUGAUACGCGAGGAACCUUACCCGGGCUUAAAUUGCAACCGAAUAUGGCGGAAACGCUAUAGCUAGCAAUAGCGGUUGUGAAGGUGCUGCAUGGUUGUCGUCAGCUCGUGCCGUGAGGUGUCGGCUUAAGUGCCAUAACGAGCGCAACCCUUGCCGAUAGUUACUAACAGGUCAUGCUGAGGACUCUGUCGGGACUGCCAUCGUAAGAUGUGAGGAAGGUGGGGAUGACGUCAAAUCAGCACGGCCCUUACGUCCGGGGCUACACACGUGUUACAAUGGGGGGUACAGAGGGCUGCUACCACGCAAGUGGAUGCCAAUCCCAAAAACCUCUCUCAGUUCGGAUUGAAGUCUGCAACCCGACUUCAUGAAGCUGGAUUCGCUAGUAAUCGCGCAUCAGCCACGGCGCGGUGAAUACGUUCCCGGGCCUUGUACACACCGCCCGUCAAGCCAUGGGAGCCGGGGGUACCUGAAGUGCGUAACCGCAAGGAGCGCCCUAGGGUAAAACUGGUGACUGGGGCUAA